AACGAACGCUGGCGGCAGGCCUAACACAUGCAAGUCGAGCGCCCGCAAGGGAGCGGCAGACGGGUGAGUAACGCGUGGGAAUUUACCCCGAGGUACGGAACAACUCGGCGAAAGCUGAGCUAAUACCGUAUGUGACCGAGAGGUGAAAGAUUUAUCGCCUUGGGAUGAGCCCGCGUAGGAUUAGCUAGUUGGUGGGGUAACGGCCCACCAAGGCGACGAUCCUUAGCUGGUCUGAGAGGAUGAUCAGCCACACUGGGACUGAGACACGGCCCAGACUCCGACGGGAGGCAGCAGUGGGGAAUAUUGGACAAUGGGCGCAAGCCUGAUCCAGCAAUGCCGCGUGAGUGAUGAAGGCCUUCGGGACGUAAAGCUCUUUUACCAGGGAUGAUAAUGACAGUACCUGGAGAAUAAGCUCCGGCUAACUCCGUGCCAGCCGCCGCUGUAACAC
rnacentral:rRNA from 1 species